rnacentral:misc_RNA from 1 species
CAGGUGCGAUAAGUAGUGUGAAUUGCAGAAUUCAGUGAAUCAUCGAAUCUUUGAACGCAAAUGGCGCUCCUGGGUCUUCCCAGGAGCAUGUCUGUCUGAGUGUCGGUUUCCAAAAGCAAUCGCCUUCGUUGCGCGGCGUUGAGGCGUCACGGACUCGCCUGUCCGUGUCCCUUGAAGUGCAGCGGGACCGAUUCGCUCGAGCUUUCGACGCGACGUCGGGGUGGCCAAAGAAUCCUCUUAACCACCUGCGUCGCGACGGCUCGUCCGGACCGCGUCUCUCCUCGCAUCCUUGAACAUCCUUGACCUCAGAUCAGGCAAGACUACCCGCUGAAUUUAA